UGCAACAAUGUGGGUGAAUUACGGCUGCAGAAAGGGAAAACUCAUUCGAUUUAUUUCUAAAAACGGAAAGGAUCCUAAAAUAAAAUCAUAUUGUUUGGGUCUCAGACAGCACUGAGAGGCAGGGGAAGGAGGGAAGGGAAAGGUAAUGGCUUUGAGACGGCGCCGCUGGAAGAGCCCGGGCAGAUUUUGGGAGUUUGUGCAGGAGCCCUUCCCAGCCACUGUGACCAGAGCCAUGAUGUGGAAGGAGAAAGGAACCCCUGAGCUGCAUUUCUGGAGCCUGGUAAUAAAAUAACCUACCUGUGGUGAUUCUACCUGCAUAACAGAUUAGAGCCAAUAUUUCUAUAGUUACACCUUUCACAGAAUGAUCAGAAAGAAAAUUCUUUUCCUCAACCAGCACACAAAUAAAGGCAGAUAUUUUCCUUAAGAAAAAAAUAAUGAUAAUUAAAAAAUCGAUGAAAGAAAGGGAAAACAUUCUGCAGAUGAUGAGACAGUAACGACAACCUAAUGCAAGUCAUUCCAAUAUAGAGGACAGCAUUAACUGCACCAUAAUCCAAUGGAUUUCCAACAUUUAAAAACUUUCAUGGUGUCUUUUAGGCACAAAAAAAGUACAUAAACUGUAGGAGUUGAUUUUUCCAUGAGUUUUUUACACUUAAUAAUGUAAUUCUUUGGUAUGAUUAAAUGUCUUUACAAAGGAAAAGGAAUUUCAUUCUUCUAUGCAACUUCUCAUGAGCUGUUUUUGUUGUCAAACAGAGCAGAUGACAGUUUCAUUUUUUUCCCAUUGCUCUUUACUACUCUGAGAAGAAAAAAUGUUUAAAAGCCAAUUCUGCUAACUUCUACAGGUAGGAUUCUCUGCAGCUACUUUGAGUCAACAUGACAAAGCAGCAAUAACACAAUUGGGCUGUUCAGUCCCUUAAAACAAUGAGGAAGGCCAAAGAAUGGAAUUCUGAAGCAAAAUAUGUAUAAAAAAUAUAAUAAAAUAUGUAUAAAACUACAGAUAAUAAAUAAUUUAUUCCUUUAACAUUCAGCACAGACUUUGCUGGUAUUUUUCACUGGAAGCUAAGGACAAACUUUCCUUCAAUGCAGCCUUAAACAUGAAAGUUGGGAAGGUUUGUGAACACCAGGCUGCAGCCCAGGCCAUGCUGCUGCCUCACUCUCCUAUUUUUCACCUUUCCUCUCUUUCAAGCCCUGAAAGCACAGCAUAAAGGUGCUGAAAACACACAAAAACAUCAGGGCCGGUACAAAAAGCAAGAGAACAGGAAAGAUUCAAGUCUUUGACUGACAUGGAUGGAUUAGACUUGCCCAAUCCAGGCGUUUGAUGCAGGCAUGGGAUCAGCUAGAGGAAAGGGAGCCUGAGUCAUCAGCUCCAUCAAAGGCAAGGUCUGGGGACGUCUGGGUGAGCUCUGUGUGAGCAGGAACCAGCCCUGCAUUCAGAACUUUUAAUUACCCUCACCCAGGCAGCAGCAUCAGCGACUGAAAUCCCCAGAUUACCUUGAUUGCUCUGUCAUUAUCUGUCAUCAGCUGCUGCUUCUCAUCUUCCAACUUCUGUGCAGCUUCCUGGAGCCGCUGCUCCACCGCAAGCUGCUGCCGGCUGUUCUCCUCUGUCAGGAAGGAAAUGGUUGUCUUCAGUUCUGCUAUCUCCUGAAAAGAAAGCAGCGUGUUGAAGCUCCCCUCAGUAAAAUCCAUGCAUUUUGCAUUUUUUUAAUAUAAACAUGGCACUGGCAAGCUCUGCUGCGUGAGGGGAUGUUUGAAAUUAGCACGCUGCGCACUGGCAGGGCAUGGAACUCCACGCAGAGAAAAGCAAUAGAGCAAGGCUGUAAAUGACAAGAAUCGCUGAACACAAAAUAUUUGGAAGUGUUUUCCACUGUGACAUUCCAAAAUAUUUGCUCAUGAGAACAAAGCACAUCUGUGAUUUUCAAACUGCAGCCUGCUCCCCGUCUUGCACCGCUCUGAAAGCAGGAGUGAGAGUUUACACUGGAAUCUGCUGCUCCUUUUCCCGGGGGAUAUCUUACACCUUGAUACUGCCGAGAAGAAAAACGCCCACAUUCACACACUGGAAUGAAAUUUAAACCUGACAUUGACAUUUCUGACCUGCUGAAAGGAGCAGAUUUCGCUGAGCAAUACAGUGAGGACCUGACUCCACAUCCAGGACCUUCAUCCAGACCUUUUAGGUGAUUCACUUGUCAUUUGUUGAAUUGUAUUUGUUUUACCUUUUUCAUCACUGGGGAAAGUCAUAACUAACCCUGAUCCUUUAGGCAUAUUUACAGAAUUUUAUACUGACAUGUCAUCACCCAGCAAAGCACUUAAACAUGUGGGAGAGUCACUGACUUUAAUGUAUAUACUCAAGCUUAAGGUUAAGCCUCUGUAGCAGCAUAUUAUAGAAUAAUUCUAAAAGCACUUUAGCACACAGGCAGUUCAGGGAGAGACUACCAGAGUGCUUAGACUUUGCCAGGCCUCCUCACUGGCAGAGAAACAUCUAUAUUAAUUACAUGGUUAUUUAGGAAAAAAAAAAAGUUAAAAAACCCCUAAUAAUAGGCCAGGACUAGUGUAAGAAGAACUGUGCUACAAAUGAAGGUACUAAAAUCACUGGAAAAGGGGAAAAAGCUGAUUAAAAACUCUGUAGUAAAUUUAUUUCUCUUUACCUACCUGAAAAGCCCAGGAAGUAACCCAGAUUAUGUGUAAAACCUACCCUUGUAUUUCUGUAUUGCUCUUCUAAAUAAGAAAUACAUAUUUCAAAAGAUAAUACCCAUCAAAAAAAAGGGGUUUUGAGACCAAUACGCCGAAGUUUAGAGAUUAUCUCAAUAGGGUGCAAUUCUUUAGCCAGGAUUAAGCAGGUUUCUGGGUCUGCAGUUCAGGUAAUUGUUUAGAAGACAGAUAAUUUGCAGAAAUGUGUUUUUACCAGGUGUGUAAUGCACAGGAGAAAGAAGAAGAAAGCAAUGGAUUAUACAAAUUAUUAAGAUAACAACUUGAUCCUAUGCAAAACUAUGAGUAUGGUUCCUUUUGUCAUUUUAGAAAGAAAACAAAUUAGCAAACUUCUCAAUAUAACACAAACCUGAGAUUUAAAGCUUUUACCAGGUUGAGACCCUGAUCUAGCCCAAGAGUUCUGAAAUCCAAGCAAGAAAAUUUCAGCAGGAAUUGAUGAAGAAAGAUCUGCUUUGUGCAGAACUUUUUAGAGCAAAAAUUUCUAUUUACUUUGUAUAAACUUCAGAGGAAAUUUCUUGAAAUAUCUUCUCUGUGUGGGUGUUAAAAGUGAAUGUUCCAAGAGGCCACAGAGAGAAAGAUUGGACAGAUGUUGUCAGCAAGGCGACCACAAGAAAAGUUGCAAUCGACCAAUUAUUAACAGUGAGCUACAAAAAAACCCCAAAGCCAAGCGUGUCCAAGUAACUUGGGGGAUUUGAUUUAAACCCGCACAAGUAAAGAAAUUCAGACAUCAGGGUGAAACUGUUUUAUUGAGCCAAACAGCCCUGACAGACGAUGGAUGUGUUGUGUCUGCCCCAGAAGUGCUGAGGAACUGGGUCCAGCUCUUGCCAGUAAAAUGCCCCAGCUACAGCAAAGCCACCUUAAUACAAAACAUGUCCCCAAAUCUUGAGACUGUUCUGCAGGCCAAUAAAUAUUAUAUGACAUAAUAAAUUUUGCCAGUCUGACAAAAUUUAUUAUGACAUUUAGGUUAAAAAGUUCUUGCCCUA